AUUGAACGCUGGCGGCAGGCCUAACACAUGCAAGUCGAGCGGAGCGGCGGACGCGUGCGUAAUGCUUAGGAAUCUGCCUGGUAGUGGGGGAGAACGUCCGGUAAUGGGCGCUAAUACUGCAUACUAUCAGAUGAGCCUAGGUCGGAUUAGCUAGUUGGUGGGGUAAAGGCCUACCAAGGCGACGACCCGUAACUGGUCUGAGAGGAUGAUCAGUCACACUGGAACUGAGACACGGUCCAGACUCCUACGGGAGGCAGCAGUGGGGAAUAUUGGACAAUGGGCGAAAGCCUGAUGCAGCCAUGCCGCGUGUGUGAAGAAGGUCUUCGGGUUGUAAAGCACUUUAAGUUGGGAGGCGUUACCAGCAGAAUAAGCACCGGCUAACUUCGUGCCAGCAGCCGCGGUAAUAC
rnacentral:rRNA from 1 species